rnacentral:rRNA from 1 species
CCUACGGGCGGCAGCAGUGAGGAAUAUUGGUCAAUGGACGAGAGUCUGAACCAGCCAAGUAGCGUGAAGGAUGACUGCCCUAUGGGUUGUAAACUUCUUUUAUAUGGGAAUAAAAUGUUCCACGUGUGGGAUUUUGUAUGUACCAGAUGAAUAAGCAUCGGCUAACUCCGUGCCAGCAGCCGCGGUAAUACGGAGGAUCCGAGCGUUAUCCGGAUUUAUUGGGUUUAAAGGGAGCGGAGGGGGAUUGUUAAGUCAGUUGUGAAAGUUUGCGGCUUAACCGUAAAAUUGCCGUUGAAACUGGCAGUCUUGAGUACAGUAGAGGUGAGCGGAAUGCGUGGUGUAGCGGUGAAAUGCUUAGAUAUCACGAAGAACUCCGAUUGCGAAGGCAGUUCACUGGACUGCAACUGACACUGAGGCUCGAAAGUGUGGGUAUCGAACAGGAUUAGAUACCCCAGUAGUC